rnacentral:rRNA from 1 species
GGGGGCCUACGGGGGGCAGCAGUUGGGAAUAUUGGACAAUGGAGGAAACUCUGAUCCAGUGACGCCGCGUGAAGGAAGAAGGUCUUCGGAUUGUAAACUUAUUUUAUCAGGGAAGAAAAAAAUGACUGUACCUGAAGAAGAAGCACCGGCUAACUACGUGCCAGCAGCCGCGGUAAUACGUAGGGGGCAAGCGUUAUCCGGAAUUACUGGGUGUAAAGGGAGCGUAGACGGUAAUGCAAGUCUGGAGUGAAAGGCGGGGGCCCAACCCCCGGACUGCUCUGGAAACUGUGUAACUGGAGUGCAGG